rnacentral:piRNA from 1 species
GAGUUACGAGACAAAUUGGGUUUGC